rnacentral:rRNA from 1 species
CACUCCUUUCCAUUCCGAACAGGAAAGUUAAGCUCUACAGCGUCGAUGGUACUGCAUGGGCGACUGUGUGGGAGAGUAGAACGUUGCCAGGU